UGCCUCCAGGGAGGAUCGAACUCCGGACCCCUGGUUUACAAGACCAGUGCUCUGCCACUGAGCUAUAGAGGC
rnacentral:tRNA from 1 species